rnacentral:rRNA from 1 species
UACUCCUACGGGAGGCAGCAGUGGGGAAUAUUGCACAAUGGGCGCAAGCCUGAUGCAGCCAUGCCGCGUGUAUGAAGAAAGCCUUCGGGUUGUAAAGUACUUUCAGCGGGGAGGAAGGGAGUAAAGUUAAUACCUUUGCUCAUUGACGUUACCCGCAGAAGAAGCACCGGCUAACUCCGUGCCAGCAGCCGCGGUAAUACGGAGGGUGCAAGCGUUAAUCGGAAUUACUGGGCGUAAAGCGCACGCAGGCGGUUUGUUAAGUCAGAUGUGAAAUCCCCGGGCUCAACCUGGGAACUGCAUCUGAUACUGGCAAGCUUGAGUCUCGUAGAGGGGGGUAGAAUUCCAGGUGUAGCGGUGAAAUGCGUAGAGAUCUGGAGGAAUACCGGUGGCGAAGGCGGCCCCCUGGACGAAGACUGACGCUCAGGUGCGAAAGCGUGGGGAGCAAACAGGAUUAGAUACCCCAGUAGUCCGAAACCUUCCUUUUUUU